UACGAAGGGGGCUAGCGUUGUUCGGAAUUACUGGGCGUAAAGCGUAUGCAGGCGGCCUUUUAAGUCGGGGGUGAAAUCCCGAGGCUCAACCUCGGAACUGCCUUCGAUACUGGAAGUCUUGAGUCCGGGAGAGGUGAGUGGAACUCCGAGUGUAGAGGUGAAAUUCGUAGAUAUUCGGAAGAACACCAGUGGCGAAGGCGGCUCACUGGCCCGGUACUGACGCUGAGAUACGAAAGCGUGGGGAGCAAACAGG
rnacentral:rRNA from 1 species